UACGUAGGGUGCGAGCGUUUAAUCGGAAUUACUGGGCGUAAAGCGCGCGUAGGCGGCUUUGUAAGUUAGAGGUGAAAGCCCGAAGCUCAACUUCGGAAUUGCCUUUAAGACUGCAUCGCUAGAAUUGUGGAGAGGUAAGUGGAAUUCCGAGUGUAGAGGUGAAAUUCGUAGAUAUUCGGAAGAACACCAGUGGCGAAGGCGACUUACUGGACACAUAUUGACGCUGAGGUGCGAAAGCGUGGGGAGCAAACAGG
rnacentral:rRNA from 1 species